AGGAAUGUAGGGGGAGGGGGGUUCUAUUUAAGGAGAGUUGAGAUGACUAUCGCACCCUUUCUGUUCGGGUUGCUGUUCGAGAACGUACAUGCAACAUAGCCUACAUGUACAAUUGAUGAUUGGCAAUUCCAUCUGAUCAUGUGGCCUGCUGUACAUUUCCAAAGUGUCGUCUUUUGCUGCAUGUUGUAUGUCGUGAAAUCUUAGCUUCUUCAUUGCAGCACGUGCACGUGAUCGUUUCCGUGAAGAGUUUAGUGUACAUUUCUGUAGCAGAUGUUGCUGUCCAAUUUGGCAUGUAUCAGACUGUUGGUGAAAGAUAAUUUUGCAUCAGGUUGAUGAUGUCUGAGCAGCAUUGCUUGCAUGCAGAUGGUUUCGUUGCAGCCAGCUGGUGAAAUGGUAGUGCGAGUUGUACCUGCAGAUGCAGCAAUUAGGGCUUGCUUCAUCCUGAAGUCUGAAAAUGCUACAUGAAGUGUAACCACAGUAGACAUCUUCAAUUGGUUGAUGGUGUCUGAGCUGCAUUGCUUGCAAGCAGAUGGUUUUGUUGCAGCCAGCUGGUGAAAGGUUAGCUCGAGUAGACCUGAAACUGCUGCGAGUAGGACUUGUGUCACCCUGAAGUGUGAAAAUGUUGCAUGAAGUGGAACUGCAGUUGAAGACAUCUUGAAUUGGCAACAGCCUACAAGUACAACCCAAUUCAAUCUGAUCAUGUGGCCUGCUGUACAUUUCCAAAGUGUCGUCUCUUGCUGUACGUCGUGAAGUCUGAUAAGCUUCUUGGAGGUUGGGUGAGGAAGCUACGUGUUUCAUCAUUAUCAAACAGGUACAAUACCCGCAAGGCUUAAGAGGUGAGGGUGAUCAAAAAAUCGUAAAAAAAGGAGAGAGAAAAGGCCAGAAACAUCAGUCGAGUGAGCAUCUCCGACACGGCAACAACUGCAGCGCACUAUCUGUCACCAUCUGCCUUCUUCACCGUAUUGCUAGUUCGCAUCCAUGGUUAAUAAGGCGUUUUAUGCUGUUGGGUGUUGUAUCUUUGAUUACUGGUGUACCGAGGUCCCCUGCGUAUGGCGGAAACCAAACCGCAACGCCGCCGCCUUCCUGCACAACUUACGCUGCCCCGAGCCACUACACUGACGUCCUGAAGUAUUACUCUGCCCCGAGUUACUACACCACGAAGGCGACGGAGUGCUACAUGACUACGCAUGCUGCCCCAUCCUGCUACACCGAGGCUCCCAA
rnacentral:lncRNA from 1 species